GAACGGCUACUACAUCUACGGAAUUGCAGCCCGCGCGUAAAUUACCCAAUCCUGACUCAGGGAGGUGGUGACAAGAUAUAACAACAUCUAUGCAAAUCGUGAUUGUAGUGAGGGUAUUCUAAACCGAACCACUAUUACGAUUAGAGGGCAAGUCUGGUGCCAGCAGCCGCGGUAAUUCCAGCUCUAUAGCGUAUAUUAAAGUUGCUGCAGUUAAAAGCUCGUAGUUGGAUUUCUUGGACAGCUUUACCUCUUUGAGGUAGGCUUCCUACUAGUCUUCGGACUGUUACUGUGAGAAAAUUAGAGUGUUUAAAGCAGGCUUUUGCAAGAAUACAUAACAUGGAAAACCAACGCGAGAGAAUAUUGGUUAACCAAAACAUUAUAGAGACAGUUGGGGGCAUUAGAUUUAAUGCCUACGUUAAUAUUCUUGAUUGUAAAAAUAACGUAUGCAAAGCUUUGCCAAGGAUGUCUUCAUUAAUCAAAACAAAGAUAGGGGAUCAAAACAUCAAAUACUGUUGUAGUCCUUCUAUAACUAUGCGACAAGGGAUGGAAUGGAAAAUACCAUUCCAGACCCUAUGAAAAUCAAAGUCUUUGGGUCUGGGGGGAGAAAGGUCGCAAGGCUGAAACUAAAAGAACUGACCGAAGGGAACACAGA
rnacentral:rRNA from 1 species